rnacentral:lncRNA from 1 species
UGGAUUACAAUGCACCACCUCGGGGUCCGCACCACAUUUAAAUAGAUGACACCUUGCCCAAUCCUUUCUCUAUGUGGAUACGAGGAAGCCAAGCUCAAUUAUAGAAUCAUGCUCCGUUUGGCAGUCACUAAGGAUGUGGUCAGGAAAAGAUGCUGGGUAGCCCUGCAGUGGACUGGUACUUCCAAUGACUGGAAGUGAAAAGUGACAGUUCACUGCUCUUCGCUCUCUGGAGCAGCUAGAUCACUAGAGAUGCCAAGUCCCCUUUGAGGAAAUUCAACUUCUUCUCAGCCAUCACUCCCACUCUUUUUCUUCAUUACUAUAAAAAAUGCUUAGGACACUGCAGUCCAUACAAUAAAUUAGGUGGCUACAGGUCAGAGGUGAAGUAUGAACAAGUGCAAUGGAAUCGAGGUGAUUGAAAAAGCAAGACUAACGUCCUGAGAAAAUACAUCUUCCAAGCUAGAGCAACAUGUAAUUUUUUUUCCUGUUAUCUGUGUAAUGUGACUUUGUUGGGUUAAACCACCAAAAGCAAUUUUUUUUAAAGUUUCCUUUUAAAUUUGAUCCUCCUCUUUAUCAUCCAAAUGAUUCUGUCUACCAUAAUUCAGUAAUUUCUUCUCCCUUCCUUCCUUCCUUUCUUCCUUCCUUCCUUUCUCCCUCCCUCCCUUCCUUCCUUCCAUUUUUCACCCAGCUUUACUGAUGUACAAUUUACGUACAAUAAAAUUCACUCAUUUCAAG